GUAACGGUCUAGCACACCGUUCGCGUUUGUGUGCUGAGGAUGAGCUCAAAGUUGGAACCUGUUUGGCUUAGCUAAACCGGAUUGUAAACUGUAGAAACGUUUUCCUGGCACGCCAGAUAAAUAAGUCCUUUGGAACAGGGCAUCAUAGAGGGUGAGAAUCCCGUCUUUGGUCUGAGCUGUUGUCUAUUGCGAUACGUUUUCAAAGAGUCAGGUUGUUUGGGAAUGCAGCCUAAAUUGGGUGGUAAAUCUCACCUAAAGCUAAAUAUUUGCGAGAGACCGAUAGCGAACAAGUACCGUGAGGGAAAGAUGAAAAGAACUUUGAAAAGAGAGUUAAACAGUAUGUGAAAUUGUUAAAAGGGAACCGUUUGGAGCCAGACUGGCUUGAUCGUAAUCAAUCUAGGUUUCGACCUGGAUGCACUUGCGGUCUAUGCCUGCCAACGACAGUUCUUUCUGAAGGAUAAAACUAGGAGGAAUGUGGCCCCUCGGGGUGUUAUAGCCUUCUAGAUAAUACUUUGGAUGGGACUGAGGAACGCAGUGAAUGCUAUUAUGGCGAGAUUUCUAUUCGCUUUUUUCCGAGAAUGGGUGAAUUUCUGCUUCGGGUGGUGCAUUCGUUCUUUGGAGAAAACUCGUGUAGUUAUUUUUCUAUUCACUUAGGUUGUUGGUUUAAUGACUCUAAAUGACCCGUCUAAAAA
rnacentral:rRNA from 1 species